CCUACGGGAGGCAGCAGUGGGGAAUAUUGGGCAAUGGGCGCAAGCCUGACCCAGCAACGCCGCGUGAAGGAUGAAGGUUUUCGGAUUGUAAACUUCUGUCGCGAGGGACGAAGAAUGACGGAACCGCGUAAGAAAGCCCCGGCUAACUACGUGCCAGCAGCCGCGGUAAUACGUAGGGGGCAAGCGUUGUCCGGAAUGACGGGGCGUAAAGGGAGUGUAGGGGGCUCAUCAAGUUAGAUGGGAAAUCCCGCGGCUUAACCGCGGAACUGCAUCUAAAACGGGGAAGCUGGAGUGCAGGAGAGGUGAGUGGAAUUCCUAGUGUAGCGGUGGAAUGCGUAGAUAUUAGGAGGCACACCAGUGGCGAAGGCGACUCACUGGACUGUAACUGACGCUGAGGCUCGAAAGCGUGGGUAGCAAACAGGAUUAGAUACCCGAGUAGUC
rnacentral:rRNA from 1 species